UACAUGGGGUGCAAACGUUGCUCGGAAUUAUUGGGCGUAAAGCGCGCGUAGGCGGUUACUCAAGUCGGAUGUGAAAGCCCUCGGCUUAACUGAGGAAGUGCACCCGAAACUGAGUAGCUAGAGUACUAAAGAGGGUCGCGGAAUUCCAGGUGUAGCGGUGAAAUGCGUAGAUAUCUGGAGGAACACCGGUGGCGAAGGCGGCGUUCUGGACUGUCUCUGACACUGAAGAACGAAAGCCAGGGGAGCAAACGGG
rnacentral:rRNA from 1 species